UACGAAGGGUGCGAGCGUUAAUCGGAAUUACUGGGCGUAAAGCGCGCGUAGGUGGUUCAUUAAGUUAGGAGUGAAAGCCCCGGGCUCAACCUGGGAAUUGCUUCUAAAACUGGUGGGCUAGAGUACAGUAGAGGGUGGUGGAAUUUCCUGUGUAGCGGUGAAAUGCGUAGAUAUAGGAAGGAACAUCAGUGGCGAAGGCGACCACCUGGACUGAUACUGACACUGAGGUGCGAAAGCGUGGGGAGCAAACAGG
rnacentral:rRNA from 1 species